rnacentral:rRNA from 1 species
GUAGCACGGGAGAGCUUGCUCUCUGGGUGACGAGCGGCGGACGGGUGAGUAAUGUCUGGGAAACUGCCUGAUGGAGGGGGAUAACUACUGGAAACGGUAGCUAAUACCGCAUGAUGUCGCAAGACCAAAGUGGGGGACCUUCGGGCCUCACGCCAUCGGAUGUGCCCAGAUGGGAUUAGCUAGUAGGUGGGGUAAUGGCUCACCUAGGCGACGAUCCCUAGCUGGUCUGAGAGGAUGACCAGCCACACUGGAACUGAGACACGGUCCAGACUCCUACGGGAGGCAGCAGUGGGGAAUAUUGCACAAUGGGCGCAAGCCUGAUGCAGCCAUGCCGCGUGUGUGAAGAAGGCCUUAGGGUUGUAAAGCACUUUCAGCGAGGAGGAAGGCGUUGUAGUUAAUAACUGCAACGAUUGACGUUACUCGCAGAAGAAGCACCGGCUAACUCCGUGCCAGCAGCCGCGGUAAUACGGAGGGUGCAAGCGUUAAUCGGAAUUACUGGGCGUAAAGCGCACGCAGGCGGUUUGUUAAGUCAGAUGUGAAAUCCCCGAGCUUAACUUGGGAACUGCAUUUGAAACUGGCAAGCUAGAGUCUUGUAGAGGGGGGUAGAAUUCCAGGUGUAGCGGUGAAAUGCGUAGAGAUCUGGAGGAAUACCGGUGGCGA